UGUAUAUAUAUAUAUAUAUAUAUAUUGUUUUUAAUACGAUUCCUCCCGGCGCCCGCGAACUCAUAUAUUGAAAAGGGACUGCGCGGGUACACCCGAUGACAACGACCGAAUUUAACAAGCUGUCCCUCACUGAUGGUAUGCGCGCGGGUGAUGAAUUGUCCGGACGAACGUCGCGACGAUAUGGGUCCUUAUCUAUGUAACCUUUGAACGGUCGUGACGGAGAAACGCGCGCGCGGGAGGGGCGGGAAAUAAUACAACGCAACAAAACUUUAACCGAUAGCCAAUCGAGAAUGACUGAUGUGACUUGAAACAAGGGACUCCUCGAUAUCAGUCAAGCUCGAAUGCG